rnacentral:rRNA from 1 species
UACAGAGGCCUCGAGCGUUAGGCGGAAUUAUUGGGCGUAAAGCGCUUGUAGGCGGCUUGUUAAGUCGCGUGUGAAAUCCCCAGGCUUAACCUGGGAAGUGCGCGCGAAACUGGCGAGCUUGAAUGCCGGAGAGGGUCGCGGAAUUCCCGGUGUAGAGGUGAAAUUCGUAGAUAUCGGGAGGAACACCAGUGGCGAAGGCGGCGACCUGGACGGACAUUGGCGCUGAGACGCGAAAGCGUGGGGAGCAAACAGG